UGCUGGUUGCUGGUUGCUGGUUCACGAUUCCAGCAGACCUCAUCUCUCUCAAAAUCCCUAGAAUUCCUCUACACAUCUAGCUCUCACUGCCUUUGAAAUCCCUCAUUUCAAUACAAAGGGACCAAAGCCCAAAUGAAUCCUCAUCAUAUCAUCUCACUGUUUCUAUGUGCAUCGUCUUCCCCCUUCUUUCUCUACGGAGCUGUCUAGGUUUCAUUUCAUUUACAACCAAGUGUGCUGUUGCAGCCCCAAAUUAGUAGAAAUUAAAUGAUGGCUUCUACUAAAGAUCAAGUUCUACAAGCUAGCAAAUAUUGUCGGAAAUUGCACUAAAUGAUCAGGUUCGUCGCUUGAAAGAAUUUGGGGUUACCAAGGGAGAAUUGACUCGCUAUUUGGAUGUACUUUUGAAAGAUAGUGAACAUCUGGCAGCUAUGAUUGAUAAUGUGUCAUCCGUAGAUAAUUUGGAUUUCAUUAUGGAGAGUGACGCAUUGGGCCAUACAGUAAUAGACCAGAGGCAAGGACAUGAGAGUUUGGUCACUGUUGCUGGAACAAUUAAACUUGAGGAGGUAACAACUUUACUAUACAAGACUAGUUCUGUCUUUAGAAUCUGUACUGUGUUGAGCUUGAUGAUCUUCUGUAAGAACUUAGCUCUUCAUUCAAAUAAUAAUAUUAAAUUAAAUGGCAGUCUUGUUGA